rnacentral:rRNA from 1 species
GCAAGUCGAGGGGUAUAGUUCUUCGGAGCUAGAGACCGGCGCACGGGUGCGUAACGCGUAUGCAAUCUACCUUUUACAGAGGGAUAGCCCAGAGAAAUUUGGAUUAAUACCUCAUAGUAUGUGAGAAUCGCAUGGUUUUCACAUUAAAGUUCCAACGGUAAAAGACGAGCAUGCGUCCCAUUAGCUAGAUGGUAAGGUAACGGCUUACCAUGGCAACGAUGGGUAGGGGUCCUGAGAGGGAGAUCCCCCACACUGGUACUGAGACACGGACCAGACUCCUACGGGAGGCAGCAGUGAGGAAUAUUGGACAAUGGGCGCAAGCCUGAUCCAGCCAUGCCGCGUGCAGGAUGACGGUCCUAUGGAUUGUAAACUGCUUUUGUACAGGAAGAAACACUCCCUCGUGAGGGAGCUUGACGGUACUGUAAGAAUAAGGAUCGGCUAACUCCGUGCCAGCAGCCGCGGUAAUACGGAGGAUCCAAGCGUUAUCCGGAAUCAUUGGGUUUAAAGGGUCCGUAGGCGGUUUAAUAAGUCAGUGGUGAAAGCCCAUCGCUCAACGGUGGAACGGCCAUUGAUACUGUUAAACUUGAAUUAUUAGGAAGUAACUAGAAUAUGUAGUGUAGCGGUGAAAUGCUUAGAGAUUACAUGGAAUACCAAUUGCGAAGGCAGGUUACUACUAAUGGAUUGACGCUGAUGGACGAAAGCGUGGGUAGCGAACAGGAUUAGAUACCCUGGUAGUCCACGCCGUANACGAUGGAUACUAGCUGUUGGGAGCAAUCUCAGUGGCUAAGCGAAAGUGAUAAGUAUCCCACCUGGGGAGUACGUUCGCAAGAAUGAAACUCAAAGGAAUUGACGGGGGCCCGCACAAGCGGUGGAGCAUGUGGUUUAAUUCGAUGAUACGCGA